GAUGAACGCUGGCGGCGUGCCUAAUACAUGCAAGUCGAGCGAACGGACGAGAAGCUUGCUUCUCUGAUGUUAGCGGCGGACGGGUGAGUAACACGUGGAUAACCUACCUAUAAGACUGGGAUAACUUCGGGAAACCGGAGCUAAUACCGGAUAAUAUUUUGAACCGCAUGGUUCAAAAGUGAAAGACGGUCUUGCUGUCACUUAUAGAUGGAUCCGCGUUGCAUUAGCUAGUUGGUAAGGUAACGGCUUACCAAGGCAACGAUGCAUAGCCGACCUGAGAGGGUGAUCGGCCACACUGGAACUGAGACACGGUCCAGACUCCUACGGGAGGCAGCAGUAGGGAAUCUUCCGCAAUGGGCGAAAGCCUGACGGAGCAACGCCGCGUGAGUGAUGAAGGUAUUCGGAUCGUAAAACUCUGUUAUUAGGGAAGAACAUAUGUGUAAGUAACUGUGCACAUCUUGACGGUACCUAAUCAGAAAGCCACGGCUAACUACGUG
rnacentral:rRNA from 1 species